AAUUUAUAACCCAACAUAAAUAUAUCUAGUACCUAAAGCACUUACCACGAGUGAAAAUGUCACUUGUUGGGAAGGAAUAAUAGGCCUAACCCCUUGACUAUUGAGAUCGAGUCCCUAGCAACAAUCGGCAGAACCACAACGUUAAAUGACAAUCAUUAACAUGGAAAAAAGAAUGAGUGAGAAGGAUACAUUCGGGCCACAGAAAAAGAAAUCAAAAUUUCUUGAGAAGAAGGCUAACCAAUAUUCAGCCAAGACCCAAGCCUAAAAGUUG
rnacentral:lncRNA from 1 species